AGGAGUGAAGUUGUGUGGCUAUUUAGUGUUUCUUCAGGUUUAAAUGUACAAGAACGUUAUUCAUUAUUUAGUAUCUGUGUAAGUGCACAAAUGUGGGAAAAUAAAACAAAGCCGCUGGACGUAAUUUGUCCGGAUCCUACAAAAAGUCCACUGAAAAAGUCUCAGUAAAUGACCAUCAUUUUACUGACAUUAUAUUUCAUCCCAUAUUAUUUCAUUUAAUUUCACUCCAUAAUAUAAAAUAAGACUUGACAUAAAGGUCCUAAUUACCAGGUCAUAAAAUCCCUUAAAAAAUGUAUUUCCAGACUACGUUCCGAUUUGCACUGCGAGCACUGUAAGGCGGGUGAAUGAAGUUAGCCCCUCAAAAACAUUUUUUUUUCCUUUUUUCUACUUAUUUUCUAUUAAUUCGUUUGUUCAUCAUUUGUUCUUGAUUGUUCAUUGUUAAUAAUUGUUUGUUCCCCAUUUAUUUAUUUUAAAAAAAAUAUUAAAAAUAUAUCUAAAAGUUAGCCCCUCGAUUGCAAUUUUUAAUAUUUUUUCGUCCUUAAUUACUCGUAAAUAUUCAUUUUCGAUUGUUCUUAUAUAAAAUACGUUUGUUCUCUUUCGAAAUUACUCAUUUUUUGUUUAAUUAAUUGUAUUAGUUGAAUAAAUGUAUACAAAAUAUGUGUACUGCGCAUGCCAUAAGUGUAUAAUCUAUGGCGCAUGCGUCAACUAUAAUGCCUAAACUUUCUACGCGGUUUUAAUCGUGAAAAAAAACAAUUAUAAAUCCUGAAGGAUCAAUUAAUUGGUAUACAGUUUAAUUAAAAAAAUAAAAAAAAAAAUAAAAAAAUAAUGUGCAUUCGCGUAAAGUUAGCCCAAAUACAUUUUUUCCAUCCUCCUAUAAACCUAUCGCUAUGAAGGUAUAAAAAAGAUAGGUUAAGAGUUCACAUAGGUAAUAUAAACAAAUAAGUAAAUAUGUUCAUUAUUUAUCUUUCAAGAGAUAAUGUAGGUAUACAUUAUAAUAACAUUUUGACACAGUCGAAAUUAUAUUCCUAACAUUAGUAAAAUAACAUUUUAAUAUUUUUUUUAUAGGUUAUGUAUUGAAAUUGUUGGAAAAUUAUUUCAUGUUUUAGCUGGAAAACUACAUGGAGAAUUAUAUGCAAUACAAGAUAAUGAGCUCCAUUAAAUGAAUUCGAAUGAAAACAAACUGUUUACCAUCCAAAUUCGAUUGUCGGGCAGAUAGAAAACGAAAAUUCACUCAUAGUGAACCUCGGCCUGCAUUUGUGAAACGGCAAACACUCACUAUUAUCAAGGAAAUUGAAGAGACGACUAAAAAUGAGAUGUGUCGUAUUAUUAUACCUUUGCCAUCUUGUAGUCAAGAUGCCCAGCCACUUGAAAAUAGGUGUAGCAAUGACAAAGCUAUCCAAGUAGCUCCAGCACAGGAACACAAAGGCAAGGCAAGUGUGUAUUGCCACAUCACCCCUUAAUAUAUCUGAAGCAAGUAUAAGUAAACAAUCAGAACCAGCAAAAAAAAAAACUGUUGUUCCUGAGGACAAAUUUGACAGUGAUGAGUCAAAUGCACCAGCAACAGAAGGAUCAACUGUUGACUAUGGGUUAUAGAAGAAGAAGAUUAAUUCAUAUUUAUUUAAAUUAAUAUUAAUGAAUAUUAAUUUAAAUUAUUGUGCAAAAUUUGUGGUCAAAACAUAUGUGUAUUUUAUAAAUAAAUAUUCAUUCUCAGUA